GGCGGUUCUCGGGUGACGCACCCUGGAAACGGGCUCCCUCCUCUCUGGUUCUGGGUGCAUCACCCGAGAACCACA
rfam:Myotis brandtii contig291846, whole genome shotgun sequence.